AACGCAUAUUGCGCUCGAGGCUUCGGCCAAGAGCAUGUCUGCCUCAGCGUCGGGUUAAUAUCACUGCCAUAAUAAUUAUUAUUAAUAAUUAUUAUCUCGUGCGCAGUGGAUCUGGCCGUUCCAGGGGAGGGGUAAUAAUAGUAUUAAUUGUUAUUAAUCAUUACUAUUAUUAUCCAUAACACUCGUACUGGAUCGGCUGAAGAACAGAGUGCUGACCAAGGACCCUUCAACGGGCCGCAACUGGGUAGGUUCAUUGUGGGCUUGACCUUCGGGGCUCCCACAAUUUAUCAACGCUUAGUUGUUGGUUCUGGGACUUUGCUUGUCUGGCCCUUAACCCAGGAAAAUAUUAUUAACCUAUUUUCUCGACCUGAGCUCAGGCAAGAACUCCCGCUGAACUUAA
rnacentral:misc_RNA from 1 species